UGGACGCUGGGCAGUAGGGGACCACACUAGCAGGUCCCUAUUGCUUCAGGCUAUCGGGCCACUCGUUCGACCGUGGUCCACUGGUUCUGGGACUACGAACGGGGGGCGCCCAGCCGCAGGCUUGACACAACCAGCGUCAACCUCUUCAACUGGCUGUCAGAGCACAGUCUUCCAGGCUCGGGCAAGAUUGCUGAGCUCAUAAGUGAGGACCUGUGGCCCAGCCCCCUGAGGCACUACCUCAGGGGUACAAAGGCCCCAGUGGAGGGAGCCCAGACAGGACCGGUCGUCGCUGAGGAGCCUGUGGGCUAGGUGUGUGCAGGAACAAAGGCUGCCCAAGGGAUCGCCUGUGGAUGUGGGCGCAGAGAGUUUCCCUCAUGUACCUGAGUGACGGGGGAAGGCACAUAAAGUUCUCAGCAGUG